GUAGAAAGUGACGAGGAAGCGAAGAAAGAAGUUGUUGAUAAUGUGGUCAAGAAUCGUAGAAAGAAGUCAAAGAGAUUGAAUCUUGACCAGAGGAUUGCUCUACUAAAGAAUAAAGAAGGUAAAAUGCUUGCUUCAUCCGAAAGAAGAAAACUUAAUGAGGACACCGAAGAUGAAAAAAUUGAUAAGCUUGUCAGAGAAUAUUCAGGUGCUACCGACUUAGCGAGCUUAGACUGGAAGAAAAUGAAGAUCCCUCCAG
rnacentral:misc_RNA from 1 species